rnacentral:lncRNA from 1 species
GUUGUGUGGAAGAUUUCUUGCCCUUUUUGGAGGUUUAAGUUCUUCUACCAGCAUUCAGUAGAAGUUCUUUUGAAUCGUUCUGCAUGUAGAUGUGGUUUUUGAUGUGUUUGUGGGAGAAGAGUUCCAGUCAUGGCUCAGCGGGAACGAAUCUGACUAGUAACCAGGAGGACACAGGUUUGAUCACUGGCCUCACUCAGUGGGUUAAGGAUCCGGCAGUGCUGUGAGAUAUCGCAGACGCAGCUCCGAUCUGGCAUUGCUGUGGCUGUGGCAUAGGCCAGCAGCUGUAGCUCCGAUUGGACCCCUAGCCAGUGAACCUCCAUAUGCUAUAGGUGUGGCCCCCCCAAAAAACAAAACAAAACAAACAAACACAAAAAACCCACUAUUUCUUGUGAGAGAGACUGUUGCAAUUUGGGAGUUAUCUCUUUUCUUGGCUCCCACUUUUCUAAAAUUAUGGAAGAAAUUUUUGUCCCUUUUAUUAAUUAUUGCUAUCUAUAUAUAUAUGUAAGAUAUAGAUUUUUUUGCUGAGGUAGGAGAGAAAAGUCAGAAGCCUCUAAAAUUUUUAAAUAUUAUCUUGAAAAUAAUAAAAUAUGUAAUGUAUGUGUGUGUUCCCAUUUUUUAAAAUUUUAUAGAAAAUCUCAAAUUUAUACAAAAGAAGACAGUAUGAUAUAAUAAAUCCCUAUGUGUUCAUUAUAGCUUCAAUAUCAAUAAAUAUUCAAUAAACCCAUAUCCAUAUCCAAUUAUUUCAAAGCAAAUUCAAGAUAUAAUAAAAUUUCAUAAAAUGUUGAUAUUUCAGGUAGAGAUUUUAAAGUUCUUUUUUGGUCCUAAAAAGAAUGUUCUGGAGAUAUUCUCUUUGUUGACUUCCUUUAAAUUAGAUUAACACCUGAUUCUUGUGUAGCCUAUUUUAUGAUUUUAUCUAAUCAGACUACCCAGAAAGGUAGGUAGCACAGAGCAUUUAUAGUUUCAAAACUGCUUGCCUCAUUUAGCCCUGGUCUGUUGUAUUUUUGUCAGAAACUAUGUAUGCAAAUCAAUUCAAUUCAAUAAAUAUUUAUAGAGAUUUUACUGUGAAUCACACAAUUUCCUAGGUACUGUAGAUAUUGCAGUGAACUAAAAAAUGCUCUUAAGGAGUCUAUAGUGUUAACUUUCAGAGGUAUCUCUAAAAUUCAGUGUCUGUUUAUCAAAGAAUGGCUCUCAGUGUUGUUGUUGUUUUUCUUUUUUCGCCUCUUUAAUUUUUGCUUUUCUUUUGAAUAUAAAAACAUUUCUUAUUAAAACAUUGGCUUAAGCAUCUUGUCAUGAAGUCUGGUAAAAUAAGACAAAACAAACCAACUCUUUACUACUGUGUGGACUCACUUAUAAACAUAUGAAAUUAUUUUCACUUUAUAAGAGUCUAAAGGAACCAUUUCAGUGAAAACCUUAUUGGGAGUUCCCAUUGUGGCUCAGUGGUAAAGAAUCUGUCUCGUAUCUGUGAGGAUGUGAGUUCAAUCCCUGGCCUCACUCAGUGGGUUAAGGAUUCAGCAUUGCAGUGAGCUGUGGUGUGGGUUGCAGAUGCGGCUCAGAUACUGCAUUGCUAUGGCUGUGGUGUAAGCCGGCAGCUACAGCUCUGAUUCGAGCCCGGGCCUGGGAACUUCCAUAUGCCUCAAGUGUGGCCCUAAAAAGACACACACACAUGAAAAGAAAACCUUAUUGGCUCUUUUAAUGACAUCACUUCUUAUAGUUCUAUUGUGAGGAAGAUAAUGUGGAAGGAGUGCAGAGAUGUUUAGCUAGAACUAUGUUUGUUUACCUGCUGUGUGAUGGGUCUCAGAUGCCUUAUACACUUUUGCAGGUGGAAAUCAUUGCUUAAUAUUUUAAUGUAAGUUUGAUUGGAAUAUGACUAAUUACAUAAGUGAGUUGUACAAGAAACAUAAAACAGGGAUAUUCUAGAUCUACUAAUUAAAAUAAGCAGUGUGAGGCAAAAAUAAGUUAUGGUCUGUGCACAACUAAAGAAAAAUAGUUUCAAUAUUAUAUGAAAGGAUUGAUAAAAUAAUUUUGGACUGAAUUGUCCAUAAAUCUCUUCAAGAAAAGUGUAUGCUAUAAAUUAAUACUUAAGAUGGUAGGCUUUGUUGCAUUAGGCCAAGAAAAAGACAAUAAGCUAUCACAGAGAGAUUUAAAUUGAACUACCUAUUGAGAAAUAUGUUAUCUCUAAUGCUUUCCCAGGAUUUCUUUUAUAUUAAGGAUUUUAGGAUGUUAAACUGUGUACCUCUGCAUUCAAAUUAUACUUAUAGUUUCUUCACAAAUAUAUGUUGAGAAAAUGCUGUGUUAUAAGUGUUGUGCUGGAAUUUGGAGAAACAGUGGUGAUUAAAAGAAGCAUGGUUCAUGGAUCUUAACAGCCUAGAGAUAGAUUGUAUAUUUGCACACAGGUAUGCAUAUACAUACGCAUGUACUCAUAAAUGUAUUAAUCGCAAAAAAAUCUAUGAAUAUUUACCUUUGGGUAAUGCUAGUAAAUUGUGGUUGAUUUUGUACUGGGAAGAAAUAUCUAGUUUGCUGAGGUUUAUAUUUCAAUGACUCUUUACAAAAUUAAACCUUCUUCUGAC